AGGAGUUCGAUGGCUCAGAUUGAACGCUGGCGGGAUGCUUUACACAUGCAAGUCGAACGGCAGCACGGACUUCGGUCUGGUGGCGAGUGGCGAACGGGUGAGUAAUGUAUCGGAACGUGCCUAAUGGCGGGGAUAACUACGCGAAAGCGUAGCUAAUACCGCAUACGCCCUUCGGGGAAAGCGGGGGACCUUCGGGCCUCGCACUAUUAAGGCAGCCGAUAUCUGGAUUAGCUAGUUGGUCGUUAACGGCUCCUGAGCGACGAUCCGUAGCUGGACGAGGACGGCCCAGCCACACUGGACUGAGACCUGGCCCAGACUCUACGGAGAGCAACGGUAAAUUUUGGACAAUGGAAACCUGAUCCGGCAUCGCAUUAUUGCGAUGAAGGCCGCCGGGUUGCUCAAAAGCACUUUUGGUAGGAAAGAAACGGCACGGGAUAAUACCCGAUGCAACUGACGGUACCUGCAGAAUAACACCGGCUAACUACGUGCCAGCAGCCGCGGUAAUACGUGGGGUGCAAGCGUUAAUCGGAAUUACAGACCAGCAUUGCAGGCAGUUCAGAAAAGUCGCGCAAAUCCCAGAACUUAGCACUGAACUGCAUUUUUAACUACCGAUAGAGUGUGUCAGGAGGAGGUGGGAAUUCCGCGUGUAGCAGUGAAAUGCGUAGAUAUGCGGAGGAACACCGAUGGCGAAGGCAGCCUCCUGGGAUAACACUGACGCUCAUGCACGAAAGCGUGGGGAGCAAACAGGAUUAGAUCCCUGGUAGUCCACGCCUGACGAUGUCAACUAGCUGUUGGGGCCUUCCGGGCCUUGGUAGCGCAACUAACGCGUGAAGUUGACCGCCUGGGAGUACGGUCGCAGAUUAAAACUCAAAGGAAUUGACGGGGACCGCACAAGCGGUGGAUGAUGUGGAUUAAUUCGAUGCAACGCGAAAAACCUUACCUACCCUUGACAUGUCUGGAAUCCCGAAGGGUUUAGGUGCUGCGAAGAGCAGAACCCAGGUGCUGCAUGGCUGUCGUCAGCUCGUGUCGUGAGAUGUUGGGUUAAGUCCCGCAACGAGCGCAACCCUUGUCAUUAGUUGCUACGAAAGGGCACUCCUAAUGAGACUGCCGAUGACAAACCGGAGGAAGGUGGGGAUGACGUCAAGUCCUCAUGGCCCUUAUGGGUAGGGCUUCACACAUACAAUGGUCGGGACAGAGGGUCGCCAACCCCGCGAGGAGGAGCCAAUCAAGAAACCCGAUCUGAAAGUCCGGAUCGCAGUCUGCAACUCGACUGCGUGAAGCCGGAAUCGCUAGUAAUCGCGGAUCAGCAUGUCGCGGUGAAUACGUUCCCGGGUCUUGUACACACCGCCGUCACACCAUGGGAGUGGGUUUUACCAGAAAUGAAUUAGCCUAACCGUAAGGAAGGCGAUUACCACGGUAGGAUUCAUGACUGGGGUGAAGUCGUAACAAGGUAA
rnacentral:rRNA from 1 species